GAAGCGACCUCAGCUCAGGCGGGGCUACCCGCUGAGUUUAAGCAUAUCAAUAAGCGAGGAAAAGAAACUA
rnacentral:rRNA from 1 species